AUUUUAUUUAACUUAAAGCUCAGGGUGGCCUUGAACUCACUAUGUAGCCAAGGGUACUGUGACCUUGAGCUCUGGAUCCCCUCUGCUUCUACCUCCAGAGUAGUGAAAUUUCAGCUGGAAGACACCCUGACCCAGUUUAUGCAGUGCUGGGAAUUGAACCCAGGGCUUCUUGCAUGCUAGGCAAGCAAUCUACCCCCCAGGCCUGGGCUUGACUUAUUUCUGCCAUUCUACUCAAUUUCCACCGAGAGCCACCCUUUCUAGAUGCUCGCUCACCUCCCACUCUCAGUUCCGUCUGGGGGCAGAGGAUACCUGGGUUGAAGGCCACCAUGCUUAUAGGACAGCUCCAGCCCGACACAGGUUCAGAAGGUUCAGCCCGAUCCUUGUCCUGCUCCCCUCACCCGACCCACCCAGGAGCCCCUUCUUUUACCUCCAAGCUUUCAGGGUAGCAGAACUCAGGCUGUGGCCUGCUGUGGGCAGCUGUCCUUGGUUCAACCUCCCCGUGGCCCCAGAUCCACCUCCUACUGGCUUUUGAAAAUUCUUCAGUAAAGACACCAUCACCCCAGCCUGGCAUCAAGGGGCCCCAUGAAUGGUGAGCCUGCCCUGUCUCUCAUGGGGAAUCCUAGGUCACCUGCUCCUCUGAGAGCCCUGGGCGGGACUCCCGAGGGCCCACUGUGUGCCAGGCCCCACCCAAGGCUCUUUCACACACAUUAAAUCAUCGCUCCGUCACAAGUCCCACUGAGGGAGGUAGUCAUUGCCAUGGAAGCAAGAAAGCAAGUGAGUCCCAGCUAGGGCUCCAUGGGGACAGAAGUGACCCAAGCCUAGCUGAUGAGCGGGUUAUCUUUGAGAAGACGCAGUGCCCUCCCAGUUGCUCACUGUCUGGGAGGGGAUGGAAUUAGCACCUUCAUCUCUAAUUCUCAAGGUUCCGUGGAUGCUGUCCUCUGCUCGGCUGGCAUGGCAGGCCUCUUUCUCCCUUCUGUCUCCUUGUAGUGUUGGCACCCACUGAGGCUGGGCCGGUAGGUGACAGGACAUACCUACCAUAUUCGGGAAAUGCUGCCU
rnacentral:lncRNA from 1 species